CUGCCUUUAUCCACCCCCUUUGUGCUGUUGCCCUGGUGCUUUUCCAGAUCUGUGUUGAACCUUUCAUUGGCAUGGACUAGCCCUGAGCACAGCUUCCUGUGGUCUUCGGUAAAUGUAGCUGCUCACUAUUUAACUACUGGGUGUCAUCUUGGCGAUUCUUUCCUUGCCGUACACGAGAACCUGGUCUAUUCCUGGUCCAUUCUGUUGUCACAGCUGGUAAGCCAGCCAGGAGACAUAACAGACAGAGAGCAUCACCAGACCUCAGGAUCCUCACCAGACUUGGGAGGCAUCGGCAGCAGCCUGAAGGCCUUCAGCAACCUCAGCAGACAAGGGAAACCAGACCACCCGGCCAAAAACAAGGGUACAGGGAAGAGAUAGCAGGAUUCAUCUCUCCUUGGUGAAGCCCAAGCCAUCUGUGAUGCCAGAAGACAAAGAACAGGGGCCAUGAACUUUGUACACCUAUGCAUCCAUGGAUGACCACAAGUUCCUUAAAAAACAAAAACCAAAACCAAAAAAACAAUCACUCUGUUGAACCAGGUUAAGACGUGACAUCUUUUGAGUUUUUUUUUGUUCCUUUUGGCAUCACCAUGGAUUAUUCAAAAAUUCCCUCCAAUAGAGAAAAUAAACAGUGAUACUUAUGUGAGACCGUAAAAUUAAGUGCAUCUUUCUCCUGUCUUCAAGAGCUACCUAAGAAUUCGACAGACAGCCUUGACAGACUUGCGUCCUUCAAAGACCAGGUAGACUCAUAGCAGCAGCGGCCAUACAACAUUGCAGGGGACUACGACUCCUAACAGCCAAAACAAAGGAGCUGCAUCUGUCCCUAAGAGAAGAAUGUAGUUCCUACAUCAACAGGUCUAAAAUAGUAAGACAUGGUGCAAAACUGGCUCGCUGUGCUUCCAAGACCCGUGAAGAACUAUUUGAGUCACAGAUGUCCUGGCCAAGGGUCUGACGUUGGGAAUCUUGGUUGUGGUCCAGGACAUGGCCUUUAUUAGUGUGCUCUGUAUCAUUUAGAUCUAUGUACUUAAUCUCUUAGUCAAAUCUGCUUCUUUUUUGACAGCUGUCAGACUACUGGUGAUGACCCUAAGUCAAGAUCAGAAUCUGCCUCCAUGCCCAUGGUUUGUCCAAACUUCCUCGGAGGAAGGGCUCAGCUCCCUUGAAUUCAGAUCAGCCAGGGUUUGAGUUCUUGCUCUCUGAGUAAGUAGGGCCAACACUCCUGGAAGUAGCUGUAGAAGACAGAACUUCCCCCUUCAACACCCCUCAAAGAUUUUUGGGAUCCAGGGCUCAGGGGAGCAAUAACACGGUGACAGGAAAUGGAGCUGAGCCAGUCACUCCCCUCCCUCCUUUAUCUCAAAACAGCACUUUGCAGUUAUUCCUGCUUCCGCUGUCCUAAAGGAGGUAGAAAAUAAGAGAACAAAAGCGUAGGAGAUGGCUGGUGCUCUAGGCGGGAGCACGUGCAGGUUGGAUCUCCUAGCCUGACCUUGACCCUACUCAAACCUCAUUGCAGGUUCAUACAUAGGCACCACAUCUCGUAAAUACAGUUAGGAUCAGUGAAUUCUGGGAUGAGUGUGUGCUGAGAGCCCCUGAGGUGGCUCAGCACCCUGUCGAUCACACCUGGAGGCCCAUGGGAGGCACCUCAGCAGAUGUGUCUGGCCCUGAAACUCUGAAAGCCUGGUAUCAUCCCCCUGUUUUCUGUGUGCUUUUGAUAUAGGAGGUAGGGCAUGGCAGAGCUGGCUGGGGAAAUGAGCAGGGCCUGUCUAUUACAAGAUCCCAGGACAUCGGCGAAUCAUUCCCAGGACUCCAUAUGUAGAACUUCCUGGUUCCCAUGCGAUGUGGACUGAGUGACAGCUUUUUAUUGCUACCAGAGGCUUUUGUCACCGGUACACGUUCCUGACUGCAGUACCUUCUUCAGACUGCAAAGGGAGCUCCGGAUUCAAGUGACUAAGAAGUACAGGCCGGCUGCGAGAUAGGGGAUAAUAUUUAUCAGAAAACCUAGCAGCCUAACAUAAAAUGAAGGUUCUGAAUUACACAUUACAGACUCAGAUCAUAGAGCUGCCUGACAUCUGGACAGACUCCUGCUGAUUCCAAACCAGUGAGGACAGGUCAGUUCCAGGACUCUCAUGACCUUCUGUCCGGGUUUCUCUGCUGAGCACCUGGACGCAUUAACCUUGUCACAGAUUCUUUUAUACAAAAGUCAAAAUACUUUCAACAAAUCUAAGUGUUCUAGUUACAUGCCAUUUUAAAGUUUAAGAUAAA